CCAAAGGCUCUUUUAAGAGCCACCCACAUUGGAAUAAAAUAGCAUU
rfam:Salmo salar isolate Sally breed double haploid chromosome ssa11, whole genome shotgun sequence.